UACGGAGGGUGCAAGCGUUAUCCGGAUUCACUGGGUUUAAAGGGUGCGUAGGAGGGCAGGUAAGUCAGUGGUGAAAUCUCCAAGCUUAACUUGGAAACUGCCGUUGAUGCUAUCUGUCUUGAAUAUUGUGGAGGUGAGCGGAAUAUGUCAUGUAGCGGUGAAAUGCUUAGAUAUGACAUAGAACACCAAUUGCGAAGGCAGCUCGCUACACAUAUAUUGACUCUGAGGCACGAAAGCGUGGGGAUCAAACAGG
rnacentral:rRNA from 1 species